UUAGACCACACGCGCCAUAGCUGUACCUGUGGGGAAAACGUGGUAGCUGUUGGUAUCUGCUUGCUUAGACGCCAGAUUUGGAUAGCCGAAGCUAAUUUUAUGAAUACGAAGUGCUUUGCACUGGUCAGGUUUUUUGAGUUGGAGAAAGGAGCCGAGACUCCCCGGAGAACUUUGGAUUACAGACUUUGUGGAAAUCCGCAGAAGAGGAAUAAUUUUCCAUUGCAAUGGAUGGCGAGCCACAGCCCAUUUGGAAUUGAAUCUUGAAGUCUGGUUGCCUGAACUGUGCUGCCGCAUUUAGGAGUCACCACAGUGGAUCACCUGCCUCUAUCUCACCCUGUCCCAGCAUCCUCCUCUGUCCCACCAACUAAUUUCACUCAUGUUUAGUGGUAUAAAAUUUGUAUUUAAAGUACAGCUUAUAGGAUCAAUGUGAUGUUAGGUUAUGCAUGUGUAAGUGUGUAAAAUAACCAUUUUAAUGUCUGUAAGUAUACAUGUGGUGCGGACAUUUACAGAAAUAGAGGUAUUGCUUUUCUACUCAUUAAUAUUCUCUGCUAAUCUUAUUUCUCAACUUGGUUCAUUUCGCUUUAGCCUUACUUCCUCUUAUUUGGUUUCUUUUUGUGAUGCUAACUUGGCACAAUAUUUUCUAAAGUUUGGUGCCUGAGGAUCUUGUUGCAUAAUAAGCCUGGGUGUAUUCAACCAGAAGAAACAAUUUCCUCUGUCUGCCUCGUGGUUCCAUUUUUUCGUUCUUCACUCAAGUAAUGGGAAAGGGGAAGGAAGUUGGAGAGCACUAUGGGGGAAGGAAGUUGGAGAGGUGCUGUGAUGAGAGUAGAGGAGAAAAGCAGCUUACAAGAUGGAUGCUCUUUUGAGGAGAGAAGAUCUAUAUUUUUUAAAUGAAGCGGGCAUGCCUCAUUGAUAUUUUACAAGAAAAACACUGUCAGUGCAGGUCAAUAAAAAUCUCUGUUUUGCACUCUGGAUUCAAGCUGCAAUUGGUUUGGCUUCCCAGCUGGAGCUCUCGAAUCUCUACUCAGUUGUCAAGCUUUCUUUCUAGCAGAUUAUCGCUCUUACCCCGAGAAAUGAGACCACGCACUGAUCCAGUCUAUCUUCAUUUGCAGGCAUAAUCUGCAUUAAAAAACACUAGUACGUACACUAACACAUAACCACACAAUCACGAGCCGGCUCUGUAACACUACAUCUCUGCUGGGGAAGCUCAUUAAACACAUACACCAGCAGUGA